GCUGGUAAACGCCAGCGGAGGGUGCUGUUUGGAUCUUAACGAAGAAGAAACAUUAGCAGCAGUAGAAGAAGAAGCGUGAACGAGCUGAGUGGAGCCCAGAGCCAGAUAGCAGCUGGUUACGUGAAGCUAAAGCUAACGUGAUGUCUACAGUCUCUAAAGUGGUUCUGGGAGUUUCUGUGGUUCUGACUCUGAGCACCGUGGCUGCUGUUCACCUCAGCCAGACCUGGGAUAGACAGCGUCUCCACGAGGGUGUAAUCAGGGAUCUGGAGCGGCUGGAGAGGAAGAGGGAUAAUCUGAGGCUGCUCGAGGAGCAGAGGACUCUGACCACACAGCUGGAAGAGGAGAGGCAACGCAGACAGACGGAGCUGCACCCACAGGAGCACUGAGACAGAGCUUCAUACUGACUCAGUCUGCAGCUCGGGCCUGAACCAGGAAGUGAGCUGACGUGUUUAAAGGAUCUCGGGUUGAAUAUCUGCAGGACUCCCUGAUCCUUUACUCUCCAGGUGUUCAGUGAUGGACAGCAGCGGC